rnacentral:rRNA from 1 species
AUACAGAGGGUGCGAGCGUUAAUCGGAAUUACUGGGCGUAAAGCGCGCGUAGGCGGCUUGGUCAGUCGGAUGUGAAAGCCCCGGGCUCAACCUGGGAACGGCAUUCGAUACUGCCAGGCUAGAGUAUGGGAGAGGGAAGUGGAAUUUCCGGUGUAGCGGUGAAAUGCGUAGAUAUCGGAAGGAACACCAGUGGCGAAGGCGACUUCCUGGCCCAAUACUGACGCUGAGGUGCGAAAGCGUGGGGAGCGAACAGGAUUAGAAACCCCAGUAGUCC